rnacentral:rRNA from 1 species
UAAUACGUAGGGUGCAAGCGUUGUCCGGAUUUAUUGGGCGUAAAGAGCUCGUAGGCGGUUUAGCAAGUCGGGUGUGAAAACUUCAGGCUCAACCUGGAGAUGCCACUCGAGACUGCUAUGACUUGAGUCUGGUAGGGGAGCACGGAAUUCCUGGUGUAGCGGUGAAAUGCGCAGAUAUCAGGAGGAACACCGGUGGCGAAGGCGGUGCUCUGGGCCAGUACUGACGCUGAGGAGCGAAAGCGUGGGUAGCAAACAGGAUUAGAUACCCUGGUAGUCCACGCCGUAAACGUUGGGUACUAGGUGUGGGGUCUUUCAACGGACUCCGUGCCGCAGCUAACGCAUUAAGUACCCCGCCUGGGGAGUACGGCCGCAAGGCUA